rnacentral:rRNA from 1 species
UACGUAGGGGGCAAGCGUUGUCCGGAAUCAUUGGGCGUAAAGAGCGUGUAGGCGGCCCGGUCAGUCCGCCGUGAAAGUCCAGGGCUCAACCCUGGAAUGCCGGUGGAUACUGCCGGGCUGGAGUCCGGAAGAGGCGAGUGGAAUUCCCGGUGUAGCGGUGAAAUGCGUAGAGAUCGGAAAGAACACCAACGGCGAAAGCACUCUGCUGGGCCGACACUGACACUGAGAGACGAAAGCUAGGGGAGCGAAUGGG